rnacentral:rRNA from 1 species
AUUGAACGCUGGCGGCAGGCCUAACACAUGCAAGUCGAGCGAGCGGCGGACGGGUGAGUAAUGUAUGGGGACUGCCCGAUAGAGGGGGAUAACUACUGGGAACGGUAGCUAAUACCGCAUACUAUCGGAUAACCAAUUUGGGAUUCGCUAGUGGGUGAGGUAAUGGCUCACCUAGGCGACGAUGCCUAGCUGGUCUGAGAGGAUGAUCAGCCACACUGGAACGGAGACACGGCCCAGACUCCUACGGAGGCAGCAGUGGGGAAUAUUGCGCAAUGGGCGAAAGCCGGAUGCAGCCAUGCCGCGUGUAUGAAGAAGGCCCUAGGGUUGUAAAGUACUUUCAGUCGGGAAGCGUUACCUACAGAAGAAGCACCGGCUAACUACGUGCCAGCAGCCGCGGUAAUUC